CAUCGAAAACAGAAAGCUGGCGAUGUUGUAAUUGAACAAGAGGCCAUGUUCCAGCCCCAGCUAGCAGCAGACCUCAUCGACUUCAGCCAAGUGGUUCGGGCUUUAGAGUCAAGGAUAGAAGAAAGGGGUUUAUGGAAUCUCCCUCCGUGACUAAGGAAAGUCGCCGAGGCCAGGCGCGUGGCAGGGAUGUCCCUGCAUGGAAGCCCAGAGAAGCCAUUGUGUGACGCUGUGAAGGUGAAGCCUGGUUGCCUUGGAGAUGCCAGAGUCUUGGGAUCCUUGCUAAGAAAAGCUGCUAACGGAGCAGAGCCAGCCGGACGGGAAGAAGCGAGUUGCAGUCAACAGAGCUGAAAGAAGCUGGAGGUGCAGCUCUUUUGAUCCGAGUCCUAUCACCAAACCCAUCAUACUGACAAAGAAAUGGAGACACAUAAGAAUCUUUCCUGAGACUUUAUCAAUACACUAUUACCAACAAAGCUGCAGGGAACAUUCGAGUUCAGAUCUCUGUGAGCGUGAGUGUUCAUCUCCUGAAGACGAACUGCCAAGAGCUGGU